rnacentral:snRNA from 1 species
GUGCUUGCUUUGGCAGCACAUAUACUAAAAUUGGAAUGAUCCAAAGAAGAUUAGCAUGGUCUCCACACAAAGAUUUGUGAAGCAUUCCUUAUUAAA